GAUCGAUCAUCAAAUGUUUGAGAAUUCAUGAGGUCGAUCCUUCAAAAGUUCUUCCAGGAUGGGAAAUCAGUAAGAGAAUAGCGAGCUUGGAGAAAGAAAUCUCUGAAUUCAAUAAGCAGAUACUACCUGAUAAGAAGAUAGCACAUGGAUCGCAUAAGAGGAAAAAGGAUGGAAAUGUGUGGUUGAGAAACAAAGAAGUGAAACACUCGCAUCCUUCAAAUCCAUGGCCGCCACAACAUCACAGAGUUGCUAGUAAUGUCAUUAACAAUAACACCUUGUUUGAAGGUGGUGUAACUGCUGGCCUCAAUUAUGAUUAUUUUAUGCCACCUUUGGUAUUGCAUGGACCUGUUGAGGGCUCAAUUCAUGAAAAUGUUGGUUAUUCGCUGGCAGGACCUGUGAGAGGUGUGGCCAUUGGUGGACCUGGAGCAGGUAUGUCAGCUAAUAGUAUUCAUGCAGGCAUGGAUGUUGUCCCGCAAGGAGUUCCAUAUGCUGGUCAUGGAGGGAGUCGAGUUGAUAGCAUACCCGGGCUAAUAGGAAGUCAUGCUGGUCAAUUUUAUGGAUCCGCUUAUAGGCCAUCA
rnacentral:misc_RNA from 1 species